AUUUGUUUUUCCUUUCGUUUUCCAUCUAUUUUAUUGUUGUGUUGUUUGGUGAUUGCACCGUUAUGUAGGAUUCGGAGACGUCUGGCGACUACAAAAAUGCCUUAACUGCACUGCUGGGCGGAGCUUAAUCGGUGUUGAAAUUUCCACAAAAUUUUCGAAAUAUGUAAUAAAAAAAAUGAAAAUAGUCCAUCGAUUCUGAUGCAAUAUACGUACAUAUGUAGAUGCAACGCACGUGCCUAAUAUGCAAUUGUUAUGCAGAUAAAGUAUUUAUUAUUUAAAAAAAAGUAUAACUGUAAGCAUGUCUUUUUGUUGCAAAUAAAUGUAUUUUAACUGGCA